rnacentral:rRNA from 1 species
UCGAGAAUCUUUCGCAAUGCCCGAAGGGUGACGAAGCGACGCCGCGUGUGGGAUGAAGGCCUUCGGGUUGUAAACCACUGUCGGGAGUUAAGAAUUGUAGGAAUGCUAAUAGUAUUUCUACUUGACUAAGGCUCCGGAGGAAGCCACGGCUAACUCUGUG